rnacentral:miRNA from 1 species
UGGAGUGUGACAAUGGCGUUUG